GCCCCUGCUGUAGCACAAUGGAUAGAGCAUUGGACUACUAAUCCAAAGAUCGUGGGUUCGAAUCCCACCUGGGAUA
rnacentral:tRNA from 1 species